UUAAUAAAAAUGUAUGAGCAUAAAAUGCAACUUUAUAGAUACAUAUAAUCUAAGCUUUAUAAUAUCUAUCAUGUUACUGCACGCAUAAAAAAAUCAUGAUCAGUUUAUCUACAAAAUUUAAGCUAUGAACAACAUUUCAGCAUUCCUGAAAGCUGAAGUAAAUGCCAUGUCAUGUACUUAACUGUUCAAAAUUACUGACACUACAGACUUCAUAUAACUAAAGCGCACUUCAUAUAACUAAAGCAUCUUUUAAAUAGUUAUAAAAUAGAGGUAAAUAUGAUUACUAAAGCACUAAGAAAUAGAGCUGAUCAAAAUCUAGGCCGGGCUCUACAGUAGAAAUUAGGCCCGAUGGCUAUGCCCAGGCUCGGCCCGGCUCGACUGUCGGGCUUAAAUUUUUGUCCAGGCCCGACUCGAUAAGCUCAAUUUUUUCUUUAUUUGGAUCAGAAGUCCAUCUGAGGGGUGAAGAAACCGAGAGGAGAAAAUUAAAAGAAUCUCCACCCUCCAAGAAGUCCAUCUCCAAUCCCCCCAUCUUUCUUCCUGAUGGCCCAGCUGGAUCAGGAGUAAUGUGAGGGAAGGAAAACCAAGACCAAAACCAAAAAAGAGAAGGGAUGAAAGAUACG
rnacentral:lncRNA from 1 species